rnacentral:rRNA from 1 species
UGGGGAAUAUUGGACAAUGGGCGCAAGCCUGAUCCAGCCAUGCCGCGUGAGUGAUGAAGGCCCUAGGGUUGUAAAGCUCUUUCACCGGUGAAGAUAAUGACGGUAACCGGAGAAGAAGCCCCGGCUAACUUCGUGCCAGCAGCCGCGGUAAUACGAAGGGGGCUAGCGUUGUUCGGAUUUACUGGGCGUAAAGCGCACGUAGGCGGACUAUUAAGUCAGGGGUGAAAUCCCGGGGCUCAACCCCGGAACUGCCUUUGAUACUGGUAGUCUUGAGUUCGAGAGAGGUGGGUGGAAUUCCGAGUGUAGAGGUGAAAUUCGUAGAUAUUCGGAGGAACACCAGUGGAGAAGGCGGCUCACUGGCUCGAUACUGACGCUGAGGUGCGAAAGCGUGGGGAGCAAACAGG